UACGAAGGGGGCUAGCGUUGUUCGGAAUCACUGGGCGUAAAGGGUGCGUAGGCGGGUCUUUAAGUCAGGGGGGAAAUCCUGGAGCUCAACUCCAGAACUGCCUUUGAUACUGAAGAUCUUGAGUUCGGGAGAGGUGAGUGGAACUGCGAGUGUAGAGGUGAAAUUCGUAGAUAUUCGCAAGAACACCAGUGGCGAAGGCGGCUCACUGGCCCGAUACUGACGCUGAGGCACGAAAGCGUGGGGAGCAAACAGG
rnacentral:rRNA from 1 species